UCCAUCAUUGGCAUACACAAGUGAUUUGGUCACAGAAUGCCCUGAAGACUAUAAAGCAUUGAACAGAAGCAGUCACCGUGAUUUUCAUGGACUCUGCCAGAGCAUCCAAGCCAGAGUUCGAUCUGCUUCAGAGCACUUCUUGUUUUCAAUGGCUGGAACAUCCUCUCUGGAGAUGACACCCCUCUUAGGUUAAAGUGUGUUCCUUAUUGUGUUGAAGAUGAUCUUUCUCAUUAGGAAUGAACUAUAGACACACAUGUCCACCUUCAAGCAGCAGUUACGACCUUGAAAUCACGGGUAUGUUGAGUAUCUGUACUGUAUAGUUGAGUACCUGUGUAAAU
rnacentral:lncRNA from 1 species